rnacentral:rRNA from 1 species
CUUUUCAACAACGGAUCUCUUGGUUCUGGCAUCGAUGAAGAACGCAGCGAAAUGCGAUAAGUAAUGUGAAUUGCAGAAUUCAGUGAAUCAUCGAAUCUUUGAACGCACAUUGCGCCCCUCGGUAUUCCGGGGGGCAUGCCUGUUCGAGCGUCAUUG